rnacentral:rRNA from 1 species
AUUGAACGCUGGCGGCAGGCCUAACACAUGCAAGUCGAACGGUAGCACAGAGAGCUUGCUCUCGGGUGACGAGUGGCGGACGGGUGAGUAACGUCUGGGAAACUGCCCGAUGGAGGGGGAUAACUACUGGAAACGGUAGCUAAUACCGCAUAACGUCGCAAGACCAAAGUGGGGGACCUUCGGGCCUCACACCAUCGGAGGUGCCCAGAUGGGAUUAGCGAGUAGGUGGGGUAAUGGCUCACCUAGGCGACGAUCCCUAGCUGGUCUGAGAGGGUGACCAGCCACACUGGAACUGAGACACGGUCCAGACUCCUACGGGAGGCAGCAGUGGGGAAUAUUGCACAAUGGGCGCAAGCCUGAUGCAGCCAUGCCGCGUGUAUGAAGAAGGCCUUCGGGUUGUAAAGUACUUUCAGCGGGGAGGAAGGCGGUGAAGUUAAUAACUUCACCGAUUGACGUUACCCGCAGAAGAAGCACCGGCUAACUCCGUGCCAGCCGCCGCCGUAA